rnacentral:rRNA from 1 species
AGAGUUUGAUCCUGGCUCAGAACGAACGCUGGCGGCGCGCCUAACACAUGCAAGUCGAACGAGAGGCUACUUGGAGUAAUACCUCAUGUGGUCUCCGGAUCAAAGGCUUGCCGCCUUGGGAGCAAGGAACGUCCUAUCAGGUUGUUGGUGAGGUAACGGCUCACCAAGCCAAAGACGGGUAGCGGGUGUGAGAGCAUGACCCGCCGCAUCGGGACUGAGACACUGCCCGGACUCCUACGGGAGGCUGCAGUAACGAAUCUUCCGCAAUGCGCGAAAGCGUGACGGAGCAAUGCCGCGUGCGGGAUGAAGCUCUUCGGAGUGUAAACCGCUGUCAGGGGCUAGGAACACAAUGACCAACCCCAAAGGAAGGGCCGGCUAACUUCGUGCCAGCAGCCGCGGUAAUACGAAGGGCCCGAGCGUUAAUCGGAAUUACUGGGCGUAAAGCGUACGCAGGCGGUUUGUUAAGCGAGAUGUGAAAGCCCCGGGCUCAACCUGGGAACUGCAUUUCGAACUGACAAACUAGAGUUUUGUAGAGGGUGGUAGAAUUUCAGGUGUAGCGGUGAAAUGCGUAGAGAUCUGAAGGAAUACCAGUGGCGAAGGCGGCCACCUGGACAAUAACUGACGCUCAUGUACGAAAGCGUGGGGAGCAAACGGGAUUAGAUACCCCGGUAGUCCACGCCGUAAACGAUGUCAACUAGCCGACUGAAUCCUUGAGAUUUGGGUGGCGCAGCUAACGCAUUAAGUUGACCGCCUGGGGAGUACGGCCGCAAGGUUAAAACUCAAAUGAAUUGACGGGGGCCCGCACAAGCGGUGGAGCAUGUGGUUUAAUUCGAUGCAACGCGAAGAACCUUACCUACUCUUGACAUCCACAGAACUUAGCAGAGAUGCUUUGGUGCCUUCGGGAACUGUGAGACAGGUGCUGCAUGGCUGUCGUCAGCUCGUGUUGUGAAAUGUUGGGUUAAGUCCCGCAACGAGCGCAACCCCUAUCCUUAGUUGCCAGCACGUAAUGGUGGGAACUCUAGGGAGACUGCCGGUGAUAAACCGGAGGAAGGUGGGGACGACGUCAAGUCAUCAUGGCCCUUACGAGUAGGGCUACACACGUGCUACAAUGGCGCAUACAAAGGGUUGCGAAGCCGCGAGGUGGAGCCAAUCCCAAAAAGUGCGUCGUAGUCCGGAUUGGAGUCUGCAACUCGACUCCAUGAAGUCGGAAUCGCUAGUAAUCGUAGAUCAGAAUGCUACGGUGAAUACGUUCCCGGGCCUUGUACACACCGCCCGUCACACCAUGGGAGUGGGCUGCACCAGAAGUAGAUAGCUUAACCCUUCGGGGAGGGCGUUCACCACUUUGUGUUUCAUGACUGGGGUGAAGUCGUAACAAGGUAACC